CACGGAGGACGAGCUGUGCCUAUGCUUCAGCGGCCGCCCUCAGAAAGAACAAGGUCGAACAGUGCGCUUCUCGCCGGGUGUGUAGCGGGGACGGGACCGUCGCCAGGAAGGGGGAAGGGCAGGUAUGUGCGCGCGCGCCUCUCGGCCUGCAGGACGUUUGGUGUAGCGAGAGACGAGGGGAACGGUUCAGGUUGCAAACGAAAACGACCAGGAGCCUCAAACAGCACAUUUUUGGUGGUCUUAUUCACAUCCAACUUUGGGUAUGUUCCUUUCCAGACCAGCGCAAGAAAAAGGCAGAACCGUGACAACACAGUACAAGGGAGACGUCGGUUGUACGAUGUAGCACAACCACUGAAGCCAGGGAUUGGACACCCCGCAGUCACACGAAAUUUCGUGACAGGUGGAAGUGACGAACCUCCAGGAUUGUGCAGAAAAGACGUUCUUUUGGAGCUGUAAGCCCAGUUCGUGACAUGUGCUUUGGUGACAAGGGCGAAAAAGAGAAGAACCUGUCGGAAUGGCAUGGGGGGAAACAGUAUGUUGGGGCCGCCCGCACAGUAUAGCGUGCCAAGCUGCCAACCGGCUGUGCAGCGGGUACCAGGUGACUGUUUUGUAGGAAGAUUAGGCGUCCCGGCUAAGGAGGUAGGAUUUUAAUGAAGAGCUGAAGAAAACAUGGAAGCCGGAGCUUCCAUGAUUUCUUUGCAGCAUGAUAAGGUUCGUCUUCAUAGGCUGCUUUCCAGGCCUGGCACCAUCGACUUCCCGUAAUGCAUGGCUGAAGUUGGAGGCAAUCAACGACGUCGGACGGCCGCAGUCCUCACUACACUGUAGUAAUCGACAGUCACUUGCAAGCAAGCAAUGCAGCCUCUCUUAGCAAUGUACAUUUCUAGGGAAGGGUCAUAUAGGAAAGCCCCCUACCGUUUGGAAGAAGCAACUCUGCGUUACUUCACUGCAGGCGCAGGCACGCACCUGCUUCCUGCAAAUCGCUUUCUGCCAGCAACGCGCCUUGCCAUGGAUCAGCGAGGUGCGGCCGUACGAUGCGCCGCGUAGAGGCCCCUAAUGGCCCACAGCGGAACAAGGUGCUCUGUGCAAAAGUUACCUCUCUCGGGACUUCAUUCAUGCCUUGCCACGAGCAAGAAAAAGGCGAGUUCUGCAGAUUUAUGCCUGGUUGUGUAGGCAGGAUUGCGCUUUUCAACGUCACGGGGGAGCGGCCGGGCACGAGUUCGUCGCCCUUUCCCGGGCGCCAGACGGUUACGAAAACGCAAAUACAGCGGGAGAGGCAAAGGUUGUCUCAUGACAGUCUUGCUUUUUGUCUCUGACACAGAUCUUGGUUCUUUUUACCGUGCCUCCGUGGACUGAUGUGUUUGCCUCCAGUUUGGUCAGGCUUCAUCUGGUGCCCCCGUUGUCCACGAGCCCCGCCCAUCCCGUUCGUUGUGUUGCGUGCAACAGUUUCACAGUCGUUGUGUUGCGUGCAACAGUUUCACGAGAGUCAUCACUCUCUAUCCUCCCUAUAAAGUCGCCGUCUUUUCAGUCCAGGAGGGCUAACACGAAGUAGCACACGAAAGCCAAGUGUAUCGCUCUUCCCAGCCGUUUUCUUCAAGAACCGGUAGCGGAAAGCUCCACUUCGUAGGCACACACGGUCGUUGUCUCUGUUCAGUCCCAACAUACGCGCAGAUUAUUGCCAACCGUUCUCGUAACUCGAGUCUUCUACCCAAUUCAGAACGUCUGGACGUUUUUAAAGGUAACGGCAUGUAGGAGAACUCUUACCAAUUGUUGUCUCCCCUAGAAGUUUAUCAGAAUCCAUGCAGUGCGUUGUUGUUUUUCUCAAAUAAUGGCGUCGUGGUUAGAAACCUGACUGAGCGG
rnacentral:lncRNA from 1 species